rnacentral:lncRNA from 1 species
AGAACUCCCAGCCCAGUUCUGUGAGCAGACUUUACCAGCGGCGUGUGGACAUAGUCGGAGAGAGCCCUAAGAAUCUUGGGCCUCGCCACGGAUUCCGAUUCCAAAUCUGGAUCUGUGUUUUAUCAACAAGCAGUUUGCCCGUUCAAGUUUGAGGAGCACUUGGU